rnacentral:rRNA from 1 species
AAUCAACGCUGGCGGCGUGCCUCAGACAUGCAAGUCGAACGAUUAAAGCUCUCUUCGGAGAGUGUAUAGAGUGGCGCACGGGUGAGUAACACGUAAGUAAUCUACCUUCGAGUGGGGAAUAACAGUCGGAAACGACUGCUAAUACCGCAUAAUGCAGCGGCAUCGCAAGAUGACAGUUGUUAAAGGNGUAAUUCGCUUGAAGAGGAGCUUGCGGCAGAUUAGCUUGUUGGUAAGGUAAUGGCUUACCAAGGCUACGAUCUGUAACCGGUCUAAGAGGACGGUCGGUCACACUGACACUGAAUAACGGGUCAGACUCCUACGGGAGGCAGCAGUCGGGAAUUUUGGGCAAUGGGCGAAAGCCUGACCCAG